CUUGACCACAAGUGAGUUCACAAACUAGACAUUUUUAACGCAACUCUUAACACUUUUUGCAUUUUAAACCACAUUUUGUUUCUUCAUAGUCUUGGCUGGGGGCAAUGAAAUCAAAUGUUUGGAAGAGUUGGUGCCCCUUCCAUUUCUGCUAAGCCAUUAAAGACCUUUGCAGAUGCUAUAGAUGUCUGGGUUGUGGAAUUUUACCAGAGUCUCAGGAGUUUUAAAGGCUGGCAGAAAAAUGCCAUUACUGGAUUUCUGAGUGAGCAGAAUAUCAAAGUUGGGAAGCCAAAUGACUUCAACUGAUAUGGAUGUUCGGUCUUGCGGACAGUUUCAUCAUUUCUUGAAAUGAGAAAGUUUGGGAGUUUGACAACUUGCCACAGACUCCAUCACAACAGAUUCCAUUACAGUAUAGAUUUAUAGUACAUGGAUCCAUUAGUGAUUACUAUCAAUCAGUUGUUCCUCAGAGGCCAGAGGGGUAUCGACAUUGAAAUCAAAAGCAAAUGAGACAGAAACAAAUAUAUAGAUGUAUAUGUUUUCUAAUACCAAAAUUAUAUCAUGAUUGUUUUUUAUCA